rnacentral:rRNA from 1 species
UACGUAGGGUGCAAGCGUUGUCCGGAAUUAUUGGGCGUAAAGAGCUUGUAGGCGGUUUGUCGCGUCUGCUGUGAAAUUUCGGGGCUCAACCCCGAACUUGCAGUGGGUACGGGCAGACUAGAGUGUGGUAGGGGAGACUGGAAUUCCUGGUGUAGCGGUGAGAUGCGCAGAUAUCAGGAGGAACACCGAUGGCGAAGGCAGGUCUCUGGGCCAUAACUGACGCUGAGAAGCGAAAGCAUGGGGAGCGAACAGG